ensembl:piRNA 21ur-5531 ncRNA
UUCGAAAAAAAACUAAAACAC